UACGUAGGGGGCAAGCGUUGUCCGGAUUUAUUGGGCGUAAAGAGCGUGUAGGCGGCCAGGUAGGUCAGCUGUGAAAACUCGAGGCUCAACCUCGAGACGUCGGUUGAAACCAUCUGGCUAGAGUCCGGAAGAGGAGAGUGGAAUUCCCGGUGUAGCGGUGAAAUGCGCAGAUAUCAGGAAGAACACCUAUGGCGAAGGCAGCUCUCUGGGACGGUACUGACGCUGAGACGCGAAAGCGUGGGGAGCGAACAGG
rnacentral:rRNA from 1 species